GUAACACGUAUCCAACCUGCCGCUUACUCGGGGAUAGCCUUUCGAAAGAAAGAUUUAAGUACCCGAUGGUAUAAAGAGUUCGCAUGUUCUCUUUAUUAAAGAAUUUCGGUAAGCGAUGGGAUGCGUUCCAUUAGAUAGUUGGCGGGGUAACGGCCCACCAAGUCUACGAUGGAUAGGGGUUCUGAGAGGAAGGUCCCCCACAUUGGAACUGAGACACGGUCCAAACUCCUACGGGAGGCAGCAGUGAGGAAUAUUGGUCAAUGGACGAGAGUCUGAACCAGCCAAAGGUAGCGUGAAGGAUGACUGCCCUAUGGGUUGUAAACUUCUUUUAUAAGGGAAUAAAGUGAGGGACGUUGUCCCUUUUUGUAUGUACCUUAUGAAUAAGGAUCGGCUAACUCCGUGCCAGCCGCCGC
rnacentral:rRNA from 1 species